AAACUUUCAACAACGCAUCUCUCGGUUCUGGCAUCGAUGAAGAACGCAGCGAAAUGCGAUAAGUAAUGUGAAUUGCAGAAUUCAGUGAAUCAUCGAAUCUUUGAACGCACAUUGCGCCCCCCAGUAUCCUGGCGGCCACGCCUGUUCGAGCCUCAUU
rnacentral:rRNA from 1 species